GGUUAAGCGACUAAGCGUACACGGUGGAUGCCCUGGCAGUCAGAGGCGAUGAAGGACGUGCUAAUCUGCGAAAAGCGUCGGUAAGGUGAUAUGAACCGUUAUAACCGGCGAUGUCCGAAUGGGGAAACCCAGUGCAAUUCGUUGCACUAUCGUUAACUGAAUACAUAGGUUAACGAGGCGAACCGGGGGAACUGAAACAUCUAAGUACCCCGAGGAAAAGAAAUCAACCGAGAUUCCCCCAGUAGCGGCGAGCGAACGGGGAGCAGCCCAGAGUCUGAAUCAGCUUGUGUGUUAGUGGAACGGUCUGGAAAGUCCGACGGUACAGGGUGAUAGUCCCGUACACCAAAAUGCACAGGUUGUGAACUCGAAGAGUAGGGCGGGACACGUGGUAUCCUGUCUGAAUAUGGGGGGACCAUCCUCCAAGGCUAAAUACUCCUGACUGACCGAUAGUGAACCAGUACCGUGAGGGAAAGGCGAAAAGAACCCCGGCGAGGGGAGUGAAAAAGAACCUGAAACCGUGUACGUACAAGCAGUGGGAGCACCUUCGGGUGUGACUGCGUACCUUUUGUAUAAUGGGUCAGCGACUUAUAUUCUGUAGCAAGGUUAACCGUAUAGGGGAGCCGCAGGGAAACCGAGUCUUAACUGGGCGUUAAGUUGCAGGGUAUAGACCCGAAACCCGGUGAUCUAGCCAUGGGCAGGUUGAAGGUUGGGUAACACUAACUGGAGGACCGAACCGACUAAUGUUGAAAAAUUAGCGGAUGACUUGUGGCUGGGGGUGAAAGGCCAAUCAAACCGGGAGAUAGCUGGUUCUCCCCGAAAGCUAUUUAGGUAGCGCCUCGUGAACUCAUCUUCGGGGGUAGAGCACUGUUUCGGCUAGGGGGUCAUCCCGACUUACCAACCCGAUGCAAACUACGAAUACCGAAGAAUGUUAUCACGGGAGACACACGGCGGGUGCUAACGUCCGUCGUGAAGAGGGAAACAACCCAGACCGCCAGCUAAGGUCCCAAAGUCAUGGUUAAGUGGGAAACGAUGUGGGAAGGCACAGACAGCCAGGAUGUUGGCUUAGAAGCAGCCAUCAUUUAAAGAAAGCGUAAUAGCUCACUGGUCGAGUCGGCCUGCGCGGAAGAUGUAACGGGGCUAAACCAUGCACCGAAGCUGCGGCAGCGACACUAUGUGUUGUUGGGUAGGGGAGCGUUCUGUAAGCCUGCGAAGGUGUGCUGUGAGGCAUGCUGGAGGUAUCAGAAGUGCGAAUGCUGACAUAAGUAACGAUAAAGCGGGUGAAAAGCCCGCUCGCCGGAAGACCAAGGGUUCCUGUCCAACGUUAAUCGGGGCAGGGUGAGUCGACCCCUAAGGCGAGGCCGAAAGGCGUAGUCGAUGGGAAACAGGUUAAUAUUCCUGUACUUGGUGUUACUGCGAAGGGGGGACGGAGAAGGCUAUGUUAGCCGGGCGACGGUUGUCCCGGUUUAAGCAUGUAGGCUGGUUGUCCAGGCAAAUCCGGAUAAUCAAGGCUGAGGUGUGAUGACGAGGCACUACGGUGCUGAAGUAACAAAUGCCCUGCUUCCAGGAAAAGCCUCUAAGCAUCAGGUAACAUCAAAUCGUACCCCAAACCGACACAGGUGGUCAGGUAGAGAAUACCAAGGCGCUUGAGAGAACUCGGGUGAAGGAACUAGGCAAAAUGGUGCCGUAACUUCGGGAGAAGGCACGCUGGUGUGUAGGUGAAGUCCCUGCGGAUGGAGCUGAGACCAGUCGAAGAUACCAGCUGGCUGCAACUGUUUAUUAAAAACACAGCACUGUGCAAACACGAAAGUGGACGUAUACGGUGUGACGCCUGCCCGGUGCCGGAAGGUUAAUUGAUGGGGUUAUCCGUAAGGAGAAGCUCUUGAUCGAAGCCCCGGUAAACGGCGGCCGUAACUAUAACGGUCCUAAGGUAGCGAAAUUCCUUGUCGGGUAAGUUCCGACCUGCACGAAUGGCGUAAUGAUGGCCAGGCUGUCUCCACCCGAGACUCAGUGAAAUUGAACUCGCUGUGAAGAUGCAGUGUACCCGCGGCAAGACGGAAAGACCCCGUGAACCUUUACUAUAGCUUGACACUGAACAUUGAGCCUUGAUGUGUAGGAUAGGUGGGAGGCUUUGAAGCGUGGACGCCAGUCUGCGUGGAGCCAACCUUGAAAUACCACCCUUUAAUGUUUGAUGUUCUAACGUUGGCCCCUGACCGGGGUUGCGGACAGUGUCUGGUGGGUAGUUUGACUGGGGCGGUCUCCUCCCAAAGCGUAACGGAGGAGCACGAAGGUUAGCUAAUCCUGGUCGGACAUCAGGAGGUUAGUGCAAUGGCAUAAGCUAGCUUGACUGCGAGCGUGACGGCGCGAGCAGGUGCGAAAGCAGGUCAUAGUGAUCCGGUGGUUCUGAAUGGAAGGGCCAUCGCUCAACGGAUAAAAGGUACUCCGGGGAUAACAGGCUGAUACCGCCCAAGAGUUCAUAUCGACGGCGGUGUUUGGCACCUCGAUGUCGGCUCAUCACAUCCUGGGGCUGAAGUAGGUCCCAAGGGUAUGGCUGUUCGCCAUUUAAAGUGGUACGCGAGCUGGGUUUAGAACGUCGUGAGACAGUUCGGUCCCUAUCUGCCGUGGGCGCUGGAGAAUUGAGGGGGGCUGCUCCUAGUACGAGAGGACCGGAGUGGACGCAUCACUGGUGUUCGGGUUGUCAUGCCAAUGGCACUGCCCGGUAGCUAAAUGCGGAAGAGAUAAGUGCUGAAAGCAUCUAAGCACGAAACUUGCCCCGAGAUGAGUUCUCCCUGAGACUUUAAGUCUCCUGAAGGAACGUU
rnacentral:rRNA from 1 species